AUUGAACGCUGGCGGCAUGCUUUACACAUGCAAGUCGAACGGUAACAGGCCGCAAGGUUCUGACGAGUGGCGAACGGGUGAGUAAUUCAUCGGAACGUGCCCAGUCGUGGGGGAUAACGCAGCGAAAGCUGCGCUAAUACCGCAUACGAUCUAUGGAUGAAAGCGGGGAAACGUAAGGGCUCGCGCGAUUGGAGCGGCCGAUGUGAGAUUAGGUAGUUGGGGGGGUAAAGGCUCACCAAGCCAACGAUCUGUAGCUGGUCUGAGAGGACGACCAGCCACACUGGGACUGAGACACGGCCCAGACUCCUACAGGAGGCAGCAGUGGGGAAUUUUGGACAAUGGGCGCAAGCCUGAUCCAGCCAUGCCGCGUGCGGGAAGAAGGCCUUCGGGUUGUAAACCGCUUUUGUCAGGGAAGAAACGCUCUGGGUUAAUACCUCGGGGUAAUGACGGUACCUGAAGGAUAAGCACCGGCUAACUACGUGCCAGCCGCCGCAGUAAGAC
rnacentral:rRNA from 1 species